GAUGAACGCUGGCGGCGUGCUUAACACAUGCAAGUCGAACGGGAAACAUUUUAUUGAAGCUUCGGCAGAUUUAGAUUGCUUCUAGUGGCGGACGGGUGAGUAACGCGUGGGUAACCUGCCUUAUACCGGGGGAUAACAGCCAGAAAUGACUGCUAAUACCGCAUAAGCGCACAGAACCGCAUGGUUCGGUGUGAAAAACUCCGGUGGUAUAAGAUGGACCCGCGUUGGAUUAGCUAGUUGGCAGGGCAGCGGCCUACCAAGGCGACGAUCCAUAGCCGGCCUGAGAGGGUGAACGGCCACAUUGGGACUGAGACACGGCCCAGACUCCUACGGGAGGCAGCAGUGGGGAAUAUUGCACAAUGGGGGAAACCCUGAUGCAGCGACGCCGCGUGAAGGAAGAAGUAUCUCGGUAUGUAAACUUCUAUCAGCAGGGAAGAUAAUGACGGUACCUGACUAAGAAGCCCCGGCUAACUACGUGCCAGCAGCCGCGGUAAUACGUAGGGGGCAAGCGUUAUCCGGAUUUACUGGGUGUAAAGGGAGCGUAGACGGCGCAGCAAGUCUGAUGUGAAAGGCAGGGGCUUAACCCCUGGACUGCAUUGGAAACUGCUGUGCUUGAGUGCCGGAGGGGUAAGCGGAAUUCCUAGUGUAGCGGUGAAAUGCGUAGAUAUUAGGAGGAACACCAGUGGCGAAGGCGGCUUACUGG
rnacentral:rRNA from 1 species